rnacentral:lncRNA from 1 species
CUACAUUCUCCCUUUCCUGGCUAUAGAAGACUCUGGGGGAGAAAAAUCCUCCAGCCUCUCUGUCCCGAGUGGAGUCUCUGAGAUGAAGGAUGGAAGAGAGCUGGCACUGGGGCACGUGCAGGUGCUGCUUCAGAAGCUAUGCAAAGAAAAAGCAGCUGGCAUGCUAUGAGUCACCAAGGAUCAGCGCAAUAAGUGGAGUUAAAGAAACAGAUACCCAGAAUCCCACUUACGCUACACACCAGGAGCUAAGGAAAGGUUUGGAUAGACAGCUAUGUGCACAGAGGUCCUGAUUCUGCAACAUAUUUAACACGCGAUUAAACCUAUAUUUGGCAAGUCCAAUUCAUCGCAAUGGGGAGUAAGCAACUGCUUGAAUGGUUUGCUUAAUUGAGGUCAAAUGACCUUUCUAAAUUGUAAUGAAGUACCAUAAUGAAAUACAGGGAAAAGAAAUUGCUUCCUAGGGUGUGAGGUUACUGGAAUUUAAUAACAGCCCCACAGUUUGGCAAAGAAAUCCCUUCAAAGUCUAAGUGAAUCCUCAUUGCCACAAAAACGUUUGCCAGCUAGAACCAUUUAAAUAAAUCAUAAAGCAGCUGAUUUCUGGAGCCA